rnacentral:sRNA from 1 species
AGAUGCGGCGGACCUGAGCAUCAUGGGGUAA